GCUGAACUUAAGCAUAUCAAUAAGCGGAGGAAAAGAAACUAACUAGGAUUCCCUUAGUAGCGGCGAGCGAACCGGGACCAGCCCAACUUGUAAAUCAUUAGCCUUCGGCUAAUUGAAUUGUAGUCUCAAGAUGCGUUCUCUGCGGCGAGCAGUGCCCAAUUUUCCUUGGAAAAGGGAGUCAGAGAGGGUGAGAACCCCGUCGGCACUUGCUUCAGUUGCUCCACGAGGCGCUUUCUCAGAGUCGGGUUGCUUGGGAAUGCAGCCCUAAGUAGGUGGUAAAUCCCAUCUAAGGCUAAAUACUGACGGGAGACCGAUAGCGAACAAGUACCGUGAGGGAAAGAUGAAAAGAACUUUGAAAAGAGAGUCAAAAGUGCUUGAAAUUGUUGAGGGGGAAGGAAUUGGAAGCCGUUUGUGCACCCGGGCUUAAGUGGGCAAUUCUGCCUUCUGUACGCUCUGGGAGCCGGUCAGCAUCGGCUACUGGACCGGGAUAAUAACUUUCCUUCGGAGAGUGCAUGCCGGCUCGGUGGCUGAGGAAUUGAAAGGCGCUCUUUGAGUCCUUCGGGAACUGCGCCUUCAAGAUGCUGGCAGAAGGCCUUCAAUUCGCCCGUCUUGAAACACGGACCAAGGAGUCUAACAUGUAUGCGAGCCGGUGGGUUUAACACCCAUGAGACGCAAGUAACCUGACUGGUGGGAUGGCUUAUGCCUGCACCAUCGACCGACCAUGAUCUUCUGUGAAAGGUUUGAGUACGAGCAUACCUGUUGGGACCCGAAAGAUGGUGAACUAUGCCUGAGCAGGGCGAAGCCAGAGGAAACUCUG
rnacentral:rRNA from 1 species